AAAUGUCUAUAUAGAUUAUUUUUAAAUCGUGAUGCUGUUAACUUCAGGAAAUGGU
rnacentral:tRNA from 1 species